rnacentral:rRNA from 1 species
AUUGAACGCUGGCGGCAGGCCUAACACAUGCAAGUCGAACGAAGCGGCGGAUGGGUGAGUAACGCGUGGGUAACCUGCGCCUACGUCUGGGAUACAAUUUGGAAACAGCUGCUAAUACCGGCUACAUACGGAUGGACCUGCGAUGCAUUGGCUAGUGGGGAAGGAAACGGCUUACCACGUCGAUGAUGAAUAGUCGGGGUGAGAGACUAAUCGGCCACAUUGGGACUGAGACACGGCCCAAACUCCUACGGGAGGCAGCAGUAGGGAAUCUUCCACAAUGGACGAAAGUCUGAUGGAGCAACGCCGCGUGAGUGAAGAAGGUUUUCGGAUCGUAAAGCUCUGUUGUUGGUGAAGCGGGAAUCAACCAGAAAGUCACGGCUAACUACGUGCCAGCAGCCGCGGUAAUAC